UCCCUGGUGGCCCAGUGGUUAGGACUUGACACUCUCACUGCCAAGGGCCUGGGUUCAACCCUUGGUUGGGGAA
rnacentral:tRNA from 1 species